CCUACGGGAGGCAGCAGUGAGGAAUAUUGGUCAAUGGCCGGAAGGCUGAACCAGCCAUGCCGCGUGAAGGUCAGUGCCCUAUGGGCGUUAAACUUCUUUUGUGCGGGAGCAAUAAUGGUCACGUGUGGCCAGACUAGAGUACCGUACGAAUAAGCAUCGGCCAACUCCGUGCCAGUAGCCGCGGUAAUACGGGGGAUGCAAGCGUUAUCCGGAUUUAUUGGGGUUAAAGGGUGCGUAGGGUGUGAGGUAAGUCAGCGGUGAAAUGCCCCCGCUCAACGGGGUGAAGUGCCAUUGAUACUGGCGUGCUUGAAUGCGGAUGCGGUGGGAGGAAUGUGUGGUGUAGCGGUGAAAUGCAUAGAUAUCACACAGAACACCGAUUGCGAAGGCAUCUCACGAAUCCGCGAUUGACGCUGAUGCACGAAAGCGUGGGUAUCAAACAGGAUUAGAUACCCGUGUAGUC
rnacentral:rRNA from 1 species